ACUCUGUAACUGUUUUAAAGUGAACAUUGGCCUCAUGGUGAAAUCCCUGAGCGGUUUCCUUCCUCUCCGGCAACUGAGUUAGGAAGGACGCCUGUGUCUUUGUAGUGACUCGGUGUAUUGAUACACCAUCCAAAGUGUAAUUACUAACUUCACCAUGCUCAAAGGGAUAUUCAAUGUGUGCUUUUUUAUUUUUACCCAUCUACCAAUAGGUGCCCUUCUUUGCGAGGCAUUGGGAAACCUCCCUGGUCUUUGUGGAUGAAUCUGUGUUUGAAAUUCACUAUUCGAUUGAGGGACCUUAUGUGUGGGGUACAGAAAUGAGGUAGUCAUUAAAAAAUCACAACAUUUCAAUGUAAUCCAUGUUAAAUUCAGGCUGUAACAACAACAUCUCAAUGUAAUCCAUGUUAAAUUCAGGCUGUAACAACAUCUCAAUGUAAUCCAUGUUAAAUUCAGGCUGUAACAACAACAUCUCAAUGUAAUCCAUGUUAAAUUCAGACUGUAACAACAUCUCAAUGUAAUCCAUGUUAAAUUCAGACUGUAACAUCUCAAUGUAAUCCAUGUUAAAUUCAGACUGUAACAUCUCAAUUAUGUAACAUCAUGUAUGUAACAGUAGUAGUAUGUAACAUCCUGUUUGUAACAGUAGUAGUAUGUAACAUCCUGUAUGUAACAGUAGUAGUAUGUAACAUCCUGUUUGUAACAGUAGUAGUAUGUAACAUCACAUCCUGUAUGUAACAGUAGUAGUAUGUAACAUCACAUCCUGUAUGUAACAGUAGUAGUAUGUAACAUCCUGUUUGUAACAGUAGUAGUAUGUAACAUCACAUCCUGCAUGUAACAGUAGUAGUAUGUAACAUUUGAUUUCCCCUGUAUUUAACAGUAAAGGUUUUUGAACACACAACGUGUGUGUUAUUUUUCCUUCUCAGAAGACUGCCUCCCUGUCACGUCCUGACCAGUAUAAGGGGUCAUUUCGUUAUUGUAGUUUGGUCGGGACGUGGCAGCGGUGUGUUUGUUUAGUGUGUUUCGGGGUUUUUUUUGUUCUAUGUUUUCUAUUUCUAUGUGGGUUUUCUAGUUUUUCUAUUUCUAUGUUAGUUUUGGGAACGACCUCCAAUUAGAAGCAGCUGGUUGUUGUUGCUUCUAAUUGGAGGCCAUAUUUAAGUGGGUUAAUUUUCUCUUGUGUUUGUGGGUGGUUGUCUCCGUGUGUAGUUAGUGCACCUUACAGGACUGUUCUCGUCGUUCUUUUGUUCAGUGUUUAUUUUCUUUAAAUAAAUCAAGAAGAUGUUUCAUCUA
rnacentral:lncRNA from 1 species